rnacentral:rRNA from 1 species
GAUGAACGCUGGCGGCGUGCUUAACACAUGCAAGUCGAACGGUGAAGGCGGAGCUUGCUCUGCUGGAUCAGUGGCGAACGGGUGAGUAACACGUGAGCAAUCUGCCCCUGACUCUGGGAUAAGCGCUGGAAACGGCGUCUAAUACUGGAUACGAGCUGCGAAGGCAUCUUCAGCAGCUGGAAAGAAUUUCGGUCAGGGAUGAGCUCGCGGCCUAUCAGCUUGUUGGUGAGGUAAUGGCUCACCAAGCCGUAGACGGAUAGCCGGCCUGAGAGGGUGACCGGCCACAAUAGGACUGAGAGACGGCCCAGUCUCCUACGGGCGGCAGCAGUGGGAAAUAUUGCGCAAUGGGCGAAAGCCUGAUGCAGCAGCGCCGCGUGCGGGAAGACGUGCUUCGGGUUGUAAACCUCUUUUAGCAGGGAAGAAGCGAAAGUGACGGUACCUGCAGAAAAAGCGCCGGCUAACUACGUG